GUGGGGAAUAUUCCGCAAUGGACGAAAGUCUGACGGAGCAACGCCGCGUGAGUGAUGAAGGUUUUCGGACUGUAAAGCUCUGUUGUUUAGGACGAAAGUGCCUGUUGCAAAUAGUUACAGGUAUUGACGGUACUGAACGAGGAAGCCACGGCUAACUACGUGCCAGCAGCCGCGGUAAUACGUAGGUGGCAAGCGUUGUCCGGAAUUAUUGGGCGUAAAGAGCAUGUAGGCGGGAAUCUAAGUCUGUUGUGAAAAUGCGGGGCUCAACCCCGUAUUGCGAUGGAAACUGGGUUUCUUGAGUGCAGGAGAGGAAAGGGGAAUUCCCAGUGUAGCGGUGAAAUGCGUAGAUAGUGGGAGGAACACCAGUGGCGAAGGCGCCUUUCUGGACUGUGUCUGACGCUGAGAUGCGAAAGCCAGGGUAGCGAACGGGAUUAGAUACCCCGGUAGUCC
rnacentral:rRNA from 1 species